AGUGAACGCUGGCGGUAGGCCUAACACAUGCAAGUCGAACGGCAGCACAGUAAGAGCUUGCUCUUACGGGUGGCGAGUGGCGGACGGGUGAGGAAUACAUCGGAAUCUACUUUUUCGUGGGGGAUAACGUAGGGAAACUUACGCUAAUACCGCAUACGACCUACGGGUGAAAGCAGGGGAUCUUCGGACCUUGCGCGAUUGAAUGAGCCGAUGUCGGAUUAGCUAGUUGGCGGGGUAAAGGCCCACCAAGGCGACGAUCCGUAGCUGGUCUGAGAGGAUGAACAGACACACUGGGAACGAGACACGGCCCACACCCCUAAGGGGGGGAGCAGUGGGGAAAUUUGGGACAAGGGGGGAAAGCUUGUCCAGCCCUAACGGGUGGGGGAAAAAGGCCUUCGGGUUGUAAAGGCCUUUUUGUGGGAAAAAAAAGGAAGAGGUUAAUAACCCGGUUGUUUGAAGGGACCCAAAAAAAAAGGCCCCGCUAAAUUCGUG
rnacentral:rRNA from 1 species